UACAGAGGUGGCAAGCGUUGUUCGGAAUUACGUGGCGUAAAGGGCGCGUAGGCGGCCUUCUAAGUCGAACGUGAAAUCCCCGGGCUCAACCCGGGAACUGCGUCCGAUACUGGAAGGCUUGAAUCCGGGAGAGGGAUGCGGAAUUCCAGGUGUAGCGGUGAAAUGCGUAGAUAUCGGGAGGAACACCGAUGGCGAAGGCAGGUCUCUGGGCCACUACUGAC
rnacentral:rRNA from 1 species